rnacentral:rRNA from 1 species
UACGAAGGGGGCUAGCGUUGUUCGGAAUUACUGGGCGUAAAGCGCACGUAGGCGGAUAUUUAAGUCAGGGGUGAAAUCCCGGGGCUCAACCCCGGAACUGCCUUUGAUACUGGGUAUCUAGAGUCCGGAAGAGGUGAGUGGAAUUCCGAGUGUAGAGGUGAAAUUCGUAGAUAUUCGCAAGAACACCAGUGGCGAAGGCGGCUCACUGGCCCGGUACUGACGCUGAGGUGCGAAAGCGUGGGGAGCAAACAGG